AAAAUAGAACGCGGCUGCAUAAGCAUAUUCCCUUAUCGACAGAGAAGGAAGGGAGAAGAUUUUGCCGUCGAGACGGAAAGGUGAAGAGCUCCGAUCCGAACCCUAAUUUUCCUUCUGGGUCGUGGAUUUUUUCUCCGGUUCUCUUAUCUCGCAUCGUAGAUCGGAGUAAUUAUUGUUACGUCGCGGUUUCCGGAGAAGAAACCCUAGUUUCAUUCGAGAGGUUUCCAUCUGGAAAUUAGGGUUUGGUUUUCGUUUACUGUAGCCGAAAUCAAUUUCAUGCUGUUUUGACGGAGGGUUUCUGUUCGUUCUGGAGCGGAGAGAAGAGAAGCGAGCAUCAAUCGAGCGGGAAAAAGACAGGGCUUUCAGUUGGGGUUUUCGGGAUACAUGUAUGGCUUCGAGGCCUGUUAACGGCGAAGGAAAUGAUGUUGCUAAGGAGACGCAAAGCUUUAAAGUUUACACGAGGAAAGACAGACGGCAGAGAAAGCGGACGCCGAGCGUUGUCGUCGCUGACGACCGUGAUAAGCCGGAGGCGAAGGUGGAAGAUGGGGAUGGUAGUAAUCGACUGAACCCUCCUGUAGCACUAGCUGAGAAUUCUGUGGAUUCUAUCGUUGUGGGAAAGAAUUCUGUUGAAGCUGUUGCUCCGGGGACCGUUUCGCAGGAGGACGCAAAGGCCUCAAUUGAAGAGCCCUCUGAGAACCCAUGCAUAAAUGAUUCAGAUAAAGCUGUUGAAGCGCUUCCUCGAGCCGAAGUUCUAGAUGUUCCGCCUAUGUCCUCUAUGGACAAGACUAAGAUACAUCCAUGCCCAUACCCGUUACCUGAAGAUGACGCAAAGGCUGUUGUCGUUGAGAAGUUUGUCGAAGUACCCUUUGAAAGCCAGGCUCAAGAAGAUGUCAAUACCGUGGUUAUCGAUAAGAGCUCUAUUGAAACAUCUCCUAAAGCCCUAGCCCUAGAAGAUGUCGGUAUUGUGGUUGUUGACAAGAACACUAUUGAAGCUUCUCCUCAAACCCUAUCUCAGGGAGGUGCCCAUGCUGUUGUUGACAAGAAUCCCAUUGAAGUGCCUUCUGAAGAACAUGUUAAUGUUGCAGCUGUAGACAACUCUGCAGUUGAAGUACCUUUAGAAAGCCUCACCCAGCGGGAUACAAGUGAUGCUCUGCAACAUGCAUUAGUUCCCUUUGAAUCUGUGCCAGUCCCUGAACCUUUGCAGGUCAUGGCACCAAGCACCCGUUCUGUUGUAACUGGAAGUGCACCAAUGGAGGAGGCCUCGGAUGACCGUGUUAGGAUACAUUUGGCCUCUAGCUCAAGGGAACAGAAGGAGGAGAUUAGGAAGAAGCUUGAGGAUCAGCUUAACUUGGUCAGAGGGUUGGUAAGGAGGGUAGAGGCUAAAGAGGGCGAGAUUGGUGCGUAUAAUUAUUCACGGGUUUUGGCAAAUGCUGGGGUCAAUAAUGGAGGGGGUAGGAUACUUACUGGAUUUGUUUCAGCAGGUCGACAGUUCGAGGUUGUCAGAGCAUCAAGGCCUUUACACCAACUCAGUAUAUCAGUUUUGGAGAACAGUCAGGGCAUGAUUGAGCAUGUGGAGAAAGAGAAAAGAACACCCAAGGCAAAUCAGUUCUACAAAAAUUCGGAGUUCUUGCUUGCAAAUGAGAAGUUUCCCCCUACCGAGAGUAACAAGAAAUCAAAAUCAAGCGCACAUAAGCUCAGCGGAGAGCUUGGUCACGGGUUUAGACCAGGUUCUAAAGUUUUCAAGGCUUGCAGUGCUCUACUUGAAAGACUGAUGAAGCACAAGUAUGGUUGGGUGUUUAAUGCCCCUGUUGAUGUGAAUGGUCUUGGUUUGCAUGAUUACUUCACCAUUAUUAAAUAUCCGAUGGAUUUGGGAACUGUCAAGUCCAGGUUAACAAAGAAUUGGUACAAGUCACCCGGAGAAUUUGCGGAGGAUGUGAGACUUACUUUUCAAAAUGCUAUGACCUACAACCCGAAAGGGCAAGAUGUCCAUGCCAUGGCAGAACAAUUAUCAAUGAUAUUUGAGGACAAAUGGGCUGUGAUAGAGGCAGAGUAUUACAAGGUGAAUCUUGCAACCCCUACAUCAAGAUUGGCUCCUGCAAUGCCACCACCCCCUAUUAAUGUGAAGAAUUUGAUGGAUAGAUCGGAUUGGAGUAGUCGCCCUGUUGAGAUGCAGCCAAAACCAGCCAGUACGACGCCUUCUGGCAGGACACCUGCUCUGAAAAAGCCCAAGGCUAAUGAGCCGAAUAAGAGAGAUAUGACAUUUGAGGAGAAGCAGAAGCUUAGUGCUAACUUGCAGAAUUUGCCCACAGAUAAACUUGAUGCGAUUGUGCAAAUUGUUAAGAAGAGGAAUACUGCGGUGAAGUUACGGGAUGAGGAAAUCGAAGUUGAUAUUGACAGUGUUGAUCCGGAGACUCUUUGGGAGUUGGACAGGUUUGUUACCAACUACAAAAAGAGCCUAAGCAAAAAAAAGAGAAAGGCUGAGCUCGCUAUUCAAGCCAGGGCAGAGGCUGAGAGGAACGCCCAGCAGAUGAAUGCAGCACCGGUGGCAGUGGGGCUUGCCAGGGAGGGUGGGACAGCAGCUCAAAAGAGUAUCCCAACACCAUUGCUUUCUCGAGCAGAGAAGCCAAGUAAUGAGGAGAGCAGAUCUAGUAGUUCAAGCAGCUCAACUAGUGAUUCCAGCUCCUCUUCUAGUGACUCGGAUAGCGAUAGCUCUUCAUCAUCUGGAUCAGAUCAGACAUAGACAUAUUGUACAAGGGAGUCCACAAAUGCUUCAGCAUAUCCUGCAUUUAGAUGCUUGUCUGGACAUAAUCCUGCGAGUUUUCUGAUCAGCUAGACAUUCUUCUGCCUCUCUGUGUUUGUUGGAGAGAGAGGGCAUGCAUAUUUAUCCUAUUCCUCUAAGGAGAAAAAAGUAGGGUAGAGGAUGACCUUAGGGGGAUGGGUUUAAAGGUGAUGAUGAUAUGUGUACAGAACAAAGUAAAGAUUGGAGAGCGUCCUCUGACGUUUUGGAAGAUUGGAGUUUUCAGUCUUUGUGUAAAAUGUUCGGUUAGGAGUUUGUGUGGUGUCUCUUGGUCCAACUAUCAUCAUUUUGUACAUCCCAUCCUAAACUCUUACUCUUAGGGCUUAGCACUCCUCUCUCUUUUGGGUUUUUUUUAGGGUUUUUGAUCAGCUGAUUCAGGAUUCUUUUGCAACUGAAAUGAUGAUACGAUGGAACUCGUCUUCUACU